CUUACAAACAUAUAAAUAUGUCAAUUAAGACAUUUUUCUUCCUGUUUAAAGAUUAUUCAAUUACUGACAUUGGUUGCAGCGGGGCCUUCUUGGUUAAUACAACGGCAUUAUUUAAAGAGGUAGGCCUCUAAAUGUCCUACCUACUAGUAUUUCUGGUAAUGAGAACUAUUAAUUAAUCACAUUUUUCCCAAACACUAGUUCAAGUUAUC